GCGUACAAAAUAAUUUCAGCCGAGCUAGAAACGAAAAGUUAGAUGCAGUUUCAAACAAAUCACUUUUUAAGAACACCAGGUUCGAUAACGACACAAAAGCGCACGCCAAUACGAUGGAGGGAAGACAAAGCCAAAGUGUGCCCCGUUUCGGCAGGAAAUACCACUACGUCGGGUAUUUGGCCAGGACCGUUUUCACAUUGCCGUACCCUGACCAGAACAAACGCUUUCACCAAUUCCUUCCUCGCCGCAGCUCGUCUGUAUCCUCCACACUAACGAGGCCCUAUCUCCCCGAGUCCUGUGAAAAUCUGUGCGGAUAGUGAUCAGUACUUAGAGGAAAAGAAUGUUGAUGUCAGCUACUGUCCCUGGAAGAAUUCGAGCUCCAAGGUGAUCUAGUAAGACCAAUGGCAGCGAAUUCCAGAAUGAAGCUUGGGUCAGUGAAAACCAAGAACCAAUUCACUGCCUUCUGUCAUGACUGUUAACGAAGUUUAUGCCAAUAUCACAGUUUGGAGAGGA